CCCCCACCCAUGCUGCCCAACCCCCUCCGAGCAGUAUUCCCCUUCGGGCCACCUACUUUCAAUGAACUGUCCAAAGCAGCAGCAUCAACCGAACAGGGCUAAAAAAAAAUGGCCAACAUUAUGCGGAGAGCAGCUAAGAGGAGCAGGAGGACAGAAGAAUGGUGUAAAGGAGGUGAGGCCGUGUGGCAGAGGCUGUGGCAGUGGCAGCGAGUGCAAAAAGGCUCUCAAAUGGGGUUGUCAGUAUUUAACCCAAAGGGGUUGGAGGUGCCGCCCGACUGCGCGAACUCCGAGCAGUCUCUGGUCUCUGGUCUCUGGCCGCUGCCGCACACAACAAUGUAAUGGGUGGCACUGCUGCUGUCGGUUCUGUUUGGGGCUGGUGGGAGACAGAGAGAGGAUCUGAGUAACAUACGAGGCACCAACAAGAGGUGCCGAGAACCACGAGAUUAGGUUCACAGGCAACGGAGGAGCAGACGCCUGCAGGAUGUUGCAGAGAGAGGAGCAUGGACCCCACAUAUAACUCAUGGAAAAUGCGCGUACGGGAGCGGGACAUGUCAUCUAUCCAAUUGAAUUAGACUCCGAGUGGGGGCCAGAGAGAGACAUCUAGAGACAUCGAGCGGUGUUAAUAAAAAGCAAAUACUCUUACAAUUUUUUCUAACCAUUUUUUGUAUAUUUUUAUAAGAAAACAGCACAAAUUCCGAUACAGUUAAU
rnacentral:lncRNA from 1 species